rnacentral:rRNA from 1 species
AACGAACGCUGGCGGCGCGUCUUAAGCAUGCAAGUCGAAUGGCAAGGGAGUGCUUGCACUCCCCUAGAAUGGCGGACUGGUGAGUAACACGUGGGUGACAUACCCUUAGGACGGGGAUAGCUUCUAGAAAUAGAAGAUAAUACCGGAUACGACCACUACAGUUAGAGUGUAGUGAGGAAAGGGGCUACGGCCCCGCCUGAGGAAUGGCCCGCGGCCCAUUAGCUAGUUGGUGAGGUAAAGGCCCACCAAGGCGAUGAUGGGUAUCCGGCCUAAGAGGGUGAACGGACACAUUGGGACUGAGAUACGGCCCAGACUCCUACGGGAGGCAGCAGCUAAGAAUAUUCCGCAAUGGACGAAAGUCUGACGGAGCGACGCCGCGUGGAUGAUGAAGGCCGUGAGGUUGUAAAGUCCUUUUGAACCUGACGAAUAAGCGUGGGAGGGAAUGCCUGCGUGGUGACGGUAGGGUUUGAAUAAGC